rnacentral:rRNA from 1 species
AUGCCGCCGCCGCCGGAGCUGUGCCGCGACCUCCUCGUGGACAUCCUCACCCGCCUCCCUCCGGACGACCCCGGGUGCCUCUUCCGCGCAUCGCUCGUCUGCACCGCGUGGCGCGCCCUCCUCACCAGCCCCGAGUUCGCCCGCCACUACCGCGAGGUCCACCGGACCCCGCCCCUGCUCGGAUUCUUCGAGAACCACGACACCGUCACGCCGUGGUUCGCGCCCUCGUCCCCCGCCGCCUCCCCCUUCCCCCCGCUCUUCCCCGACCGCCGCGCCCUCCACGUGCUCGACUCCCGCCACGGCCUCGUCCUCCUCAGUAACCCUAUACGAAUCACUGAGAAUGACCACGCCGUGAGCCUCAUCGUGUGGGACCCCGUAGGCCGCCGCCAGUGGGAGUCGUUCCCCCCUCCGGAUUUCGCCAGCACCAUCCUCUGCGACGUGGGGGUGGUGGUCUGCGCCGCCGACGACUGCGACCACCUCGGCUGCCAUGGCAGCCCCUUCCUCGUGGGCUACGUGGGCACCGACUACAGGAGCGCCCACGCCUCCGUCUUCUCUUCGGAGACGAAUAGCUGGAGCCCCGUUGUCUCUUGCCCCCACCCUGAUGUCGAGAUCCUGAGAGGCCAGCCCAAGCCCCUUGUUGGGAAUGCCGUCUACUUCAUCUGCGAGUACCACCCGGAUGAGAGUUUCAUUCUGUGCUUCGACCUCUUCAGCCGGAAACUGUCAAAGUUCGACGGGCCACCCAUCCAUCACUAUAAGUAUGCCCUGAUGAAAACAGAGGAAGGCGUGCUGGGAUGCGCGAGUAUGGAGGGAUCUCGGCUUUGCCUGUGGUCGACGGAGACUGGUCCCGACGGAGCUGUGGCAUGGAUGGAAAGCAGGGUCAUUGACCUCCACAAGCUGCUCUCUUCUAACUCAUUCCUCCAUGUGAUUGGCUUUGAGGAUAGAGCUGGUGUCUAUUAUCUGACGGCAGACUAUGGUGUCGCAACGGUUGAUCUUAAGUCAGGCCAAGUCAACAAGAUGUCCAUCAUCCAUUCCAAUAUCGUUCCCUACACAAGCUUCUACACUCCAGAUCAAGCCGUUGAGGUGGCCCAGCAGGGCAGAUGGGAGGAAGUGGGCGACAAGGAGGAGGAGGCCGAUGAGGAGGUGGAGCAGCAGGUAGAGAAAGCCGUGCAAGAGCUUUUCACCAAGGGGUCCAAAGCCCUUAAGGAUGAGGACUUCGUCGGCGCUGAAGACUGCAAACGCAGGAUCCUUGAGAUCAGGGUGGCACAUCAUGGUAAACUUUCUCCAAAGUGUCGCAGUGCAUAUCACAAUUAUGGAUGUGCUUUGCUACAGAAACCUCUACCAAAUCAGGAUUCAGUGAAGAGUACAACCACCCAAAGUAAUACUGAAAGGGACAUAGUAGAGGAUUUGGAUCUGGCCUGGAAAAUGCUGCAUGUUGCAAGGCCAAUAUCUGAGAAGAGUCCUGGCAGCACUACUGAGAAAUAUAAACUCUUUGCUGCUCUUGCUAGAGUUUCUGUGGAAAGAGGAGACAUGAACUACUCACUGAUUGCGUGCUUCAAAGCUUUGGCCAACAUGGAGCAUUUGCUUGAGCCUGACUAUCGUCAUAUUAUCAAUCAGAAACCUACACAUACGUUUUGCCUUCGAGUUGCAGUCCAAGACUGGAGAUGCAAAGGCUAUCUCAUUGUGCAUGUCACGUGUAGAGGACCUGAAAAAGGCCAGUCAAGCUUUGUUGGCUGA